rnacentral:rRNA from 1 species
CCUACGAGGGGCUGCAGUGGGGAAUAUUGGACAAUGGGCGAAAGCCUGAUCCAGCCAUGCCGCGUGUGUGAAGAAGGCCUUCGGGUUGUAAAGCACUUUCAGUGGGGAAGAAAGCCUUGGGGCUAAUACCCUCGAGGAAGGACAUCACCCACAGAAGAAGCACCGGCUAACUCCGUGCCAGCAGCCGCGGUAAUACGGAGGGUGCGAGCGUUAAUCGGAAUUACUGGGCGUAAAGCGCGCGUAGGCGGUCUGAUAAGCCGGUUGUGAAAGCCCCGGGCUCAACCUGGGAACGGCAUCCGGAACUGUCAGGCUAGAGUGCAGGAGAGGAAGGUAGAAUUCCCGGUGUAGCGGUGAAAUGCGUAGAGAUCGGGAGGAAUACCAGUGGCGAAGGCGGCCUUCUGGACUGACACUGACGCUGAGGUGCGAAAGCGUGGGUAGCAAACAGGAUUAGAUACCCCAGUAGUC